GAUGAACGCUAGCGGCAGGCCUAACACAUGCAAGUCGAGGGAGAGGUUACCUUAGGGUAACCAAAACCGGCGCACGGGUGCGUAACGCGUAUACAAUCUGCCUUUCACAUAGGGAUAGCCCGAAGAAAUUUGGAUUAAUACCUAAUGGUAUAUAAGAGCGGCAUCGUUUUUAUAUUAAAGCUACGGUGGUGAAAGAUGAGUAUGCGUUCUAUUAGCUAGUUGGAGAGGUAACGGCUCCCCAAGGCGACGAUAGAUAGGGUUCUGAGAGGGAUGUCCCCCACACUGGUACUGAGAUACGGACCAGACUCCUACGGGAGGCAGCAGUGAGGAAUAUUGGACAAUGGUCGGAAGACUGAUCCAGCCAUGCCGCGUGCAGGAUGAAGGUCCUAUGGAUUGUAAACUGCUUUUGUAAGGGAAGAAUAAGGAGUACGUGUACUUUGAUGACGGUACCUUACGAAUAAGCAUCGGCUAACUCCGUG
rnacentral:rRNA from 1 species